rnacentral:rRNA from 1 species
UACAGAGGUCUCAAGCGUUGUUCGGAUUCAUUGGGCGUAAAGGGCGCGUAGGCUGCGGGGCAAGUCGGGUGUGAAAUCUCAGAGCUCAACUCUGAAACUGCACUCGAUACUGCUUUGCUUGAGGACUGGAGAGGAGAUUGGAAUUCACGGUGUAGCAGUGAAAUGCGUAGAUAUCGUGAGGAAGACCAGUGGCGAAGGCGGAUCUCUGGACAGUUCCUGACGCUGAG